rnacentral:rRNA from 1 species
UAUUGCGCAAUGGGCGCAAGCCUGACGCAGCGACGCCGCGUGAGGGAUGAAGGUCUUAGGAUCGUAAACCUCUGUCAGCAGGGAAGAACGGUCACUGUGCUAAUCAGCAGUGAAUUGACGGUACCUGCAAAGGAAGCACCGGCUAACUCCGCGCCAGCCGCCGCGGUAAUACGGAGGGUGCGAGCGUUAACCGGAAUUACUGGGCGGAAAGCGCUCGUAGGCGGUAUGUCAAGUCAAGGUGGAAAUCCCCGCGCUCAACGUGGGAACUGCCUUUGAAACUGGCAAACUGGAGUGUGUGAGAGGAUAGUGGAAUUCCAGGUGUAGGAGUGAAAUCCGUAGAUAUCUGGAGGAACAUCAGUGGCGAAGGCGACUAUCUGGCACAUAACUGACGCUGAGGAGCGAAAGCGUGGGUAGCAAACAGG